rnacentral:rRNA from 1 species
UACGUAGGUGGCAAGCGUUGUCUGGACUUACUGGGUGUAAAGGGCGUGCAGCCGGGAGUGCAAGUCAGAUGUGAAAUCCAUGGGCUCAGCCCAUGAACUGCAUUUGAAACUAUACUUCUUGAGUACCGGAGGGGCAAUCGGAAUUCCUAGUGUAGCGGUGAAAUGCGUAGAUAUUAGGAGGAACACCAGUGGCGAAGGCGGAUUGCUGGACGGCAACUGACGGUGAGGCGCGAAAGUGUGGGGAGCAAAC